GUAACAAGGUCUCCGUUGGUGAACCAGCGGAGGGAUCAUUACAGAGUUAUACAACUCCCAUACCAUCUGUUAACCUACCCAGUUAUGCCUCGGCGUAAGCUCGGUUGGAGGCACCUGCAGCUACCCUGUAGUUGCGGACUGCCAACUCCAGCCGCGGCCCGCCGGCGGUACACUAAACUCUGUUUUAUUUUAUAUUCUGAGCGUCUUAUUUUAAUAAGUUAAAACUUUCAACAACGGAUCUCUUGGUUCUGGCAUCGAUGAAGAACGCAGCGAAAUGCGAUAAGUAAUGUGAAUUGCAGAAUUCAGUGAAUCAUCGAAUCUUUGAACGCACAUUGCGCCCAUCAGUAUUCUGGUGGGCAUGCCUGUUCGAGCGUCAUUUCAACCCUUAAGCCUAGCUUAGUGUUGGGAAUCUGCUGUACUGCAGUUCCUUAAAGACAGUGGCGGAGCGGCGGUAGUCCUCUGAGCGUAGUAAUUUAUUUCUCGCUUUUGUCAGGCUCUGUCCUCCCGCCAUAAAACCCCCAAUUUUUUAGUGGUUGACCUCGGAUCAGGUAGGAAUACCCGCUGAACUUAAGCA
rnacentral:misc_RNA from 1 species